rnacentral:rRNA from 1 species
UAGUAACUGCGAGUUGAGGGGGAUUAGCCCAGCACCGAAGCCUGCGGCCGUUUGGCUGCUAGGCAAUGUGGUGUUCAGGUCGUCUCUUGGCAUAACUGCUCCAUCCUAAGUCCAGCACUGAGUAUGGCAUCUGGAAUGGCCCAUGGAGGGUGAAAGGCCCGUGGGGGUGGAGAUCAAGUCGGCCAGUCUUGCCCUGAGUAGACCUUGGAGUCGGGUUGUUUGUGAAUGCAGCCCAAAGUGGGUGGUAAACUCCAUCCAAGGCUAAAUACUAGCACGAGCCGAUAGCGAACAAGUACCGUGAGGGAAAGUUGAAAAGUACUUUGAAGAGAGAGUAAACAGUGCGUGAAACCGCUCAGAGGUAAACGGGUGGAGUUGAACUGUAAGCUCCGGGGAUUCAGCUGGUGAGUGUGUCAUGGGCUUGGUCAUUUUCGGCCGGCUUCUGGAGUCCGCUUAGCUGCGGGUCCUUGCUUCUUCGGGAGCAGGGAUGUGCGUUGCGCUUGUCAAGUGCUGUGCGCUCUGGGGGUUGCCGGGCUGGCUCGCCAGUGCACUUUCUCGGAGUGGUCACCACGACCGGCGUUGUUGUCUUGCUGCUGUGGUCGAACCGGCCGGGUUUGGUCCUUGUGGCUGAGCUUGGUCGGGAUGGCAGGUAGCUCAUUGAUUGGCUUGUCCAGUCUUUGGGUGUAAUUAGCUGGCUGCAGCGGUUUUGUGCAAUACGUCGGAGACGGCGGCUUUAGGUGUGUGCUUUUGUGCCGUUGGUUGGCAGUGUCGAGUUUGACUGGCGUGUUACCUGCUUCGGUAGGUCCGUUGGUAGCUCGAUGCUGUUCGGUUGGCAGUUGCAUUUGUGAUACCG